rnacentral:rRNA from 1 species
GACAGAGGCCCCAAGCGUUAGGCGGAAUCACUGGGCUUAAAGCGUGUGUAGGCGGAUCGUUAAGUGUCUUGUGAAAUCCCACGGCUCACCCGUGGAACUGCUGGGCAUACUGGCGAUCUUGGGCCAACUAGGGGCAGCCGGAACAAGCGGUGGAGCGGUGAAAUGCGUAGAUAUCAGGAGGAACACCGGUGGUGUAGACGGCUCUCUGGACCGUAACUGACGCUGAGGCACGAAAGCGUGGGUAGCAAACAGG